GACGAACGCUGGCGGCGGGCUUAACACAUGCAAGUCGAACGGCAAGGCACUGCGUUUUUGGUGUGCCCGAGUGGGGAACGGGUGAGUAACACGUGAGUAACCUGCCCUUGUCUUUCGGAUAACUUCAGGAAACUGGGGCUAAUACCGGAUAGGAUCUCCUGCUCCGUGGUGGGGGUUGGAAAGUUUCGGCGGUUGGGGAUGGACUCGCGGCUUAUCGGCUAGUUGGUGGGGUAGGGGCAUACCAAGGGUUUGACUGGUCGCCCGCAUGUGAGGGUGAACGGCGACCAUGCGACUGCGAUACGCCCCAGACUCGAACGGGAGACAGCAGUCGGGAAUAUUGCACAAUGGGAGCAAGCGUGAGGCAGCAGCGCCGCGGGCGUAAUGACGGCCUUCUGGUUGUAAACCGCUGUCGCCUGUGACGAAGCGUGAGUGACGGUAAUGGGUAAAGAAGCACCGGCUAACUACGUG
rnacentral:rRNA from 1 species